GGGUCUAAUCCGAGCUGUAGCCAGUGGUCUACACCAGAGCCACAGCAACGCCAGAUCCAAGCCACGUCUGCGACCUACACCUCAGCUCAUGGCAAUGCUGGAUCCUUAACCUAACGAGUGAAGCCAGGGACUGAACCCACAACCUCAUGGUUCCUAGUCAGAUUCGUUAACCACUGAGCCAUGACGGGAACUCCCUAUUUUUAAUUUUUUGAGUGAUCUCCAUACUGUUUUCCAUAGUGGAUUGACCAACUUACAUUCACACCAACAAUGCAUAAGGAUUCCCUUUUCUUCACAUCUUUACCAACGCUUACUUGUUGUCUUUUUUUUUUUUUUUUUUUUUUUAAUGGCUGCAUCUCCGGUACAUGGAAAUUCCUGGGCCAGGAAUCAAAUCCAAGCUGCAGCUGCUACCUACACCACAGCUGCAGUAACACUGGAUCCUUUAACCCACUGUGCUGGACCAAGGAUCCACUCAAGCCACUGCAGUUGGAUUCUUUUUUUUGCUAUUUCUUGGGCCACUCCCACGGCAUAUGGAGGUUCCCAGGCUAGGGGUUGAAUCGGAGCUGUAGCCUCCAGCCUACACCACAGCCAUAGCAACGUGGGAUCUGUACCGUGUCUACGACGUAUGCCACAGCUCACGGCAACACCAGAUUCUUAACCCACUAAAUAAGGCCAGGGAAUGAACCUGUAUCUUCAUGGAUACUAGUUAGGUUCAUUACUGCUGAGCCAUGACAGGAACUCCCUGUUGUCUUUUUGAUAAUAACUAUUCUGACAGAUGUGAGGUGAUGUCUCGUUGUGGUUUUGGUUUGCAUUUCCCUGAUGAUUAGUGAUGUUGAGCAUCUUAUCCUGUGCCUGUUGGCCAUCUGUAUGCUCUUUGGAAAAAUGAGUAUUCAGCUCCUCUGCUUAUUUUUAAGUCAGGCUAUUUGAUGUUUUAAUUUUCAUAUAUCGAUCUUAUAUCCCGUGUCCUCAAUAAAGGCAUUUAUUGGUUUUAAUCUUUUUUGUGUGUGUGAAUUCCUUGUAAUUUUCUACAAAUAGAAUCAUAUCUUCUGCAAAUAAAGGCAGUUUUACAUCCUCCUUUCCAAUUUAGUUACCAUUAACUUUUUUCUCCUAUAUUUUACUGGAUAGAAUUUCCAGAUCAAUGUUGAAUAGGAGUAGCAAUAAGAGACAUCUUUGUUUUAUUCCUGAUCUUAAGAGAGAAAGAGUUCAUUCAGUAUAUCACCAUUAAGUAUGAUGUUAGCUGUGGGUUUUGUAAGUUGAGGAAAUUUCUUCUGAUUCCUUGUUCGUUGAUGGUUUUUAUCAUGGUUGAGUGAUGGAUUUUGUGAAAUCUUUUUCUGCAUCAUUUGAGAUGAACUUGUGUUUUCUGUCAUUCUUUUUAUUUAUUUAUUUAUUUUAAUUUUUUUUUUUUUUUGAUUUUUAGGGCCACACCCUUGGCAUAUGGAAGUUCCAGGCUAGGGGGGUUAAUUUGGAGCUGUAGCUGCCAGCCUCUGCCACAGCCACAGCAACAUGGGAUCCGAGGCGAGUUUGUAACCACAGCUCAUGGCAUCACCAGAUCCUUAACCCACUGAGCGAGGCCAGGGAUCAAAUCCACAUCCUGAUGGAUACUAGUCAGGUUUGCUACCACUGAGCCACAACGGGAACUCCCUGAGAUUUUUAAAAUGAGGAAUGGGUGUUGAGUUUUGCCCAGUGCUUUUUCUGCAUCAAUUGAUAUGAUUAUGUGCUUUUUCAUCUUUAGCUUGUUGAUGUGAUUUUUGAAUAGUAAAUAAACUAGGUUGGCGUCCAGGGAAUAAACCUCACUUGGUCAUGGUAUAUGAUUAAUUUUUUUAAUUAUUAUGGUGAAAUACAAAUAGCAUGAAAUUUACCAUUUUAGCCAUUUAAAACUGUACAGUUAGGAAGUUCCUAUGUGGCACAGUGGUUUAAGGAUCCAGCAUUGCCACAGCUGUGGUGCAGGUUGCAACUGCAGUGUGCGUUUAUCCACAUGCUGAGGGUGCAGCCAAAAAAAAAAAAAAAACAACAACUGUACAGUUAAUUGUUGCUAAGUACAUUCAUGAUGUUGUGCAACCAUCACCACUGUCUAAUUCCAAAACAUUUUCAUCACCUCAAAAGGAAAUCUCAUACUCAUUAAGCAAUCACUUCCCAUUCCCAUUUUCCUCAGCCCCGGCAACUACUAAUUUGCUUUUUGUUUCUAUGAAUUUGCCAACUCUGCAUAUUUCAUAUAAAUGGAAUUAUACAAUACGUGGCCUUUUGUGUCUGGUUUCUUUCACUUAGCAUAAUGUUUUCAAGGUUCUUCCAUGUCAUAGCAUGUGUCAGUACUUCAUUCCUUUUUAUGAUUGGAUAAUAUGCCAUAUUUUGUUUAUCCAUUCAUCUGUUGAUGGACAUUUGGGUUGUUUCCAUUUUGGCUAUUGUGAGUAGUGGUGCUGUGAACUUUCAUGUUCAAGUUUUUGUUCGAACACCUGUUUCCAAUUCUUUUGGGUAUAUACCUAGAAGUGGAAUUACUGGGUCAUUAAUUCAAUGUUUUAACUUUUUGAGGAACUGCCAAACUCUUCCAAAGUGAGUAUAUCAUUUUACAUUCCCACCGCGAAUGUGUGAGGAAGAGUUCAAGUUUCUUCACAUCCUUAUCAAUACUCUUUGUUUUAUUUUAUUUUAUUUUUUUUAAGUUUAUUUACUUAGUCUUUUUAGGGCCGCACCUGUGGUAUAUAGAGGUGUCCAGGCUAGGGGUCGUCAAAUCCGCCUAUGCCAUAGCCACAGCAAUGCCAGGUCUGAGCCACAUCUUUGACCUACACUGCAGCUUGCAGCAACGCUGGAUCCUUAACCCACUGAGCAAGGCCAGGGAUCGAACCCACAUCCUCAUGGAUACUAGUCAGGUUCUUAACCCGCUGAGCCACAACAGGAACUCCAGUUAUUUUAUUUUCCGCCAUUGUUGUUAUGGCUACCUGGUAGGUGUGAAUGGUAUUCCUGAUUUGCAUUUCCUAGUCAGUGAUGUUGAGCAUUUUGUCAUAUGCUUGUUAGCCAUGUGUAUAUCUUUUUUGGAGAAAUGCCUAUUCAAGUCUUUUGCUCAUUUUUUUUUUUUUUUUCUUUUUCAGCCACAGCCAUGGCAUAUGGAAAUUCCUGGGCCAGGAAUUGAAUCCAAGCCAGAGCUGAGACCUACACUAAAGCCGCACCAACUCCAUUCCUUAACACACUGCAUAGGGCCGAGGACAGAACCCAUGCAUCCACAGAGGCAAGCCAAAUCAUUAACCCACUGUGCCAUAUAGGAACUCCAUUUACUCAUUUUUUUAAAAAGUGGGUCUUUUCGUUGUUGAGUUAUAGAAGGUUUUUUAAUAUAUUAAUACUAGAACCUAUGUAAUUCUUUUUAUAUAUUUCUGAAUUCUAUUGCUUCAUAUUGUUAAUGACUUUACAUCUAUAUUCAUGAGGGAUAUUGGCAGUAGUUUUCAUUUUUUGUAUUGUCUCUCUGCUUUUGGUCAGGGAAAUACUAGCUUCGUAACAUGAAUCGGGACGUAUUCCCUGUUCUAUUUUCUGGAAGUGAUUCUAUGUACUUGAUGUUAAGUCUUUAAAAGUUUGGUAUAAUUCUCCACUGGAAGCCAUCUGGGCCUGGAGAUAUCUUUUUUUUUGGAAUUUUUAAGAUUAAAAAUUCGGUUUCUUUAAGAGUUAUAGGACUAUUAAAAUUACAUAUUUCACAUUGGAUGUAUUGUGUUUUUUUGAAGAAUUGGUGCAUUUCAUCUUAGUCAUCAAGUUUCAGUGUAUAGAGUUGUUUGUAGCUUUCCCUUAUUAUCCUUUCCAUGUCUGCGGGGUCUGUGGUGAUAUCCCCUUUCAUUCCUGAUACUAGAGUUUGUGUCCUCCUUCCCUUUCCCGUCUUUGGUCAAUUUAUAGAAUGCUGAAAUGGUAGUUUUAGUCGAUUUUAUCCAAUGUUAAGAUUACUUUUCUAGGAGAGUGUUUUCCUUCCCCUUUCUCUUCCCUACUAUUGUCUUUUUUUUUUUUUAAUAGCUUUCUUUUUCCAGGUUAAGGAAGUUUCCUUUUAAUUCUAAUUCUCUUAAGAGUUUUUUUUUUUUUUAAUUAUGGUUGAUUUACAAUGUUGUGCCAAUUUCUGCUGUACAGCAAUGUGACCCAGUCAUACAUAUGUGUAUGUAUAUAUUCUUUUUUUUAUAUUGUUUUCCUUCAUAGUCUGUCUCAGGAGACUGGAUAUAGUUUCCUGUGCUGUACAGUAGGACCUUGUUGCUUAUCCAUUCUAAAUGUAGUAGUUUGCAUCUACUAACCCCAAACUCCCAGUCCAUCCCACUCCCUCCCCCUUCCCCCUUGGCAACCACCUUUAUUUUGUUAUAUUUUAAAUAACGAAUAAAUUUAAAACUUCUACUUUGUCAUAGCACAUUACUUUUUUAAUGUACUGCUUAAAUUUGGUUUGUUACUAUUUUAUUUGGAAGAUUUGCAUGCAUAUUAAUAAGUGAGAUUGACCUAAAAUGUUAUUUUCUUUUACUGUUUUGUGGAUUUGAUAUCAAAUUUAUGUUAGCUGAUAAAAUGGGCUGAGUAAUUUUUCCACUUCUUUGAUGAAUACAUUAUUUAAUAUAGAGAGAUUAUUUUUCCUUUGAAGGUUUGAUAAAACUUUUUAGUAAAACUGUGUGGACUUGGUAUUUCUUAUCCUGGGAGACAUUUCAUUGUCACUUCCAUUUUUUUUUUAAUUUAUAUUUUCCUUGAAAUCUCUCCAUGUCUUCUUAGUUUUCAAAUGUUCUGGAAUAAAGUUGUUCAUAGUAUUCUCAUCUAUUUUUAAAAGUCUCUGCUGUUGGAGUUUCCUUGUGGCUUAGUGGGUUAAGGAUCUGGUGUUGUCACUGCUGUGACUUUGGUUACAGCUGUGGCGUGAGUUUGAUCCCUGGCCUGAGAACUUCCUCGAGCUGUGGGUACUGCCAAAAAAAAAAAAAAAAAAAAAAAAAAAAAAAA
rnacentral:lncRNA from 1 species